rnacentral:rRNA from 1 species
GACGGAGGAUGCAAGUGUUAUCCGGAAUCACUGGGCGUAAAGCGUCUGUAGGUGGUUUAAUAAGUCAACUGUUAAAUCUUGAGGCUCAACCUCAAAAUCGCAGUCGAAACUAUUAGACUAGAGUAUAGUAGGGGUAAAGGGAAUUUCCAGUGGAGCGGUGAAAUGCGUAGAUAUUGGAAGGAACACCGAUGGCGAAGGCACUUUACUGGGCUAUUACUAACACUCAGAGACGAAAGCUAGGGUAGCAAAUGGGAUUAGAUACCCGUGUAGU